GACGAACGCUGGCGGCGUGCUUAACACAUGCAAGUCGAACGGAAAGGCCCUGCUUUUGUGGGGUGCUCGAGUGGCGAACGGGUGAGUAACACGUGAGUAACCUGCCCUUGACUUUGGGAUAACUUCAGGAAACUGGGGCUAAUACCGGAUAGGAGCUCCUGCUGCAUGGUGGGGGUUGGAAAGUUUCGGCUGUUGGGGAUGGACUCGCGGCUUAUCAGCUUGUUGGUGGGGUAGUUGCUUACCAAGGCUUUGACGGGUAGCCGGCCUGAGAGGGUGACCGGCCACAUUGGGACUGAGAUACGGCCCAGACUCCUACGGGAGGCAGCAGUGGGGAAUAUUGCACAAUGGGCGGAAGCCUGAUGCAGCAACGCCGCGUGCGGGAUGACGGCCUUCGGGUUGUAAACCGCUUUCGCCUGUGACGAAGCGUGAGUGACGGUAAUGGGUAAAGAAGCACCGGCUAACUACGUG
rnacentral:rRNA from 1 species